rnacentral:rRNA from 1 species
AUGCCUGGGAUAAAUGCAAGAAGUGCAAGUGCCAUGCUCACAAGCGUGAAGAUUCUGACUUUGAAUGUGCGUUUCGGGGUUCGCAAUGACGUCAAGAUGGUGCCCACCUUCCUCAAAUGCUUUCCCAGCGCUGAGAGACUGCAUAUUGUGAGUGAUAAAUGUGAUAAACCCACUGGUGACCACCUCACCGUCAAGUUCUGGGAGGAGUCUGGUCCCAUUGAGAACGUCGUCUCGCGCAUCAACGUGAUGACUUUCCGUGAGUUCAAAGGGGACCGAGGCGAGGUUGGCUUCCUGGAGUAUGUCUUUCAGAGUGCGCGAGCGCUGGAGAUGGUAGCUAUUUUCAUGGCCAAUCCAAGCUCCACGCCGUUCUCAGAGGACGAGGCGUAUGUCAAGGCGCAAUACAGCGCUAGAAACAUGAAGAGUAAAUCCUGCCAAAAGUGCAUCAUCUGGAGUAGCCAUCCUGCAGGACGCGAUGCUUGGAGCCUCAAAAUUGGGGCAGAUUUCAACUUUGAGGACCCGUUUACGGUGACGUCGGUGGAGGAGGAGGCC